AUUUCUUCCUCUCUGGACAAGCCUGAACGAUACGGGCCGCUCUUCUAUGAUGCUGACCUCUGCCGCAUAUUAAACAAGAGGAAGGAAACUUGAAGACAAUGCACAUAACAAAAUACUAUUGUUCCUCAAGAGGGUCGAGACAUUGGAAUUCCAGUGAUGCUGUGAUUAAAACCAAUGGUGAACCCACUAGAAAAGGGAACGACACCAUGGAACUGCACAAGCUCUCCCAAGAAGGAAUGACAGGACCUUCCUGUCCUGCAUCAGCCAGGAGGGAUGGGGGAGGCGUUUCGGAGCCAUGGCAUGCAAAGAUCUGGCGCCUGGACCGACACACACACAGUUCCCUAAAUUAGAAGAAGAAGAGGAAGAAGAGAAAAGGGAAGAGAGAAAUCGUGUCACCAUGCCACUUAAAGUCUCUUAUUGAAUCUGCAUGUUUACCACAGUUUUCAAAGAAUAUUUGAUGAUGUAAUGGUAAGAGAAAAAGGCAGCAGGCAAAACCUAAAUGCAAGGAGAUCUCAAUUCCGUAAUGUGUGGGGUAGACAUCACCACUGUUCACCUCUAUGCAGCACCCCACCACUUCCAGGCACUUGGGAGGAUUUCACUUCCUUACCCCUUGAGAUAAGGUAUGGCCAUGUGACUUGCUGUGGCCAGUGAAAUGUGAGGGAAGUAACCAGGUCACUGUUGGGUGGUAGUGUUUGAUUUCUGGCAUUCCCCUCCCCAGCCCACUCUUGUCCUGCCUCAGCAGCCAUUGGAGCAUGGUUGGUAUAGAAGGUCCAGAAGAUCGAAGAAGCCACCAUGUGGGGAAGAGCACCCCUGAUUGUUACCUGGACUCACAUGAUCUGGGUACAAACAGAAACAACCCUUUUUGCUGUUAAACCACCAAGAUUUUGGUAUGGUUUUCUCUGCAU